ACUCCUACGGAAGGCAGCAGUGGGGAAUAUUGGACAAUGGGCGCAAGCCUGAUCCAGCCAUGCCGCGUGAGUGACGAAGGCCUUAGGGUUGUAAAGCUCUUUUGGCGGGGACGAUAAUGACGGUACCUGCAGAAUAAGCCCCGGCUAACUUCGUGCCAGCAGCCGCGGUAAU
rnacentral:rRNA from 1 species